rnacentral:rRNA from 1 species
UACGUAGGUCGCAAGCGUUGUCCGGAUUUACUGGGCGUAAAGAGCGCGCAGGCGGCUGGUCAAGUCCGAUGUGAAAUCUCCCGGCUCAACUGGGAAACUGCAUCGGAAACUGACCGGCUUGAAGGUGGGAGAGGGUAGUGGAAUUCCCGGUGUAGUGGUGAAAUGCGUAGAUAUCGGGAGGAACACCAGUGGCGAAGGCGACUACCUGGCCCAUUCUUGACGCUGAGGCGCGAAAGCUAGGGGAGCGAGCGGG